rnacentral:lncRNA from 1 species
AUGCCAUACCGUCCUGGACUUCCGGACGGAGUCCGGUCCCAGGGAGUGGACGUCAGAGCUCUCCGGAGGCUGCCCAGGCCAGGUUCAAAGGGAGGGAUGAACCUCACGACAUCCGUUCCAAAGAAAUCCCACCUGCCACUGGCAUGCCCAGGCUCGUCUUCCUCACAUACCAGCCUCCCAGGCAAGUCUCCAAAAGCACGGUGCGCAGGCAGCUGCAACAGUUUGCUUUCUCUCAAUGCUUUGGACCAGGAAGACGCGGAGUUGAGGAAGAAGGCACGGUCAACCCCCAUGAUCUGGACCCCCCCGCAGUUGGCUGUGAUCCUGAAAGGUCAUCUUAUCCACCCCUCUGCAGGAAAAGCAUGGCUUUCCUUGGCCCUGGAAAUCUGGCCUGGCAGAUUUUCUGAAGUGCAGCUCCUGAUGCUUGCAGAGAAGAUGGACACCAUUCAUGGAACAGACAAGCAUAUCUACGAAUUCCAAAAUAUCCAGGGGCAAGGGUGGUACAACAGCGCUGUGCUCCUAUCUGAAUCAGAAAGCAUGACGAUUAUGAAAACAACAACAAAUAACCCACAGCAGUGACGGCUCCAGGGGCCAGGACUGAAACUCCAAGUCUCUCCCCACCUUCCCUUUGGGUGGACCCUCAGAAGGAACAAGCUGCUACUGAGGGGCCCGUUACACAACUCAAAGAACAAUCUACCCUCCCCCAGGCCAACAAAUGAACCUUUCUCCAAUUGCUACAACCCCUGGGAUGGAGCUCUGGUGGUUUCACUUCCAGCUAACGCCUCCAUUUCACCAGAAACCAUUUUCGAACUGUGUCUUUUGCCCUUUGCACACUGAGCUAGCAAGUUAUUGCCUGCCAGUUUAGAAACACGACUGACCACCACACCAGAACUAUCUUCCAAAAGCUGGAGUACAGAGAAGUAGAUCGAGGCACAGACCAUCCUUUGCCAACUCUAUAAAUACAUUCCAAAAUCAAGUCGCCAUGAAAAUCUACUGACUGUACUACCAAUCAGAUUAACCUUUUCCCCCAGAUCCUGGACAGAAGGAUGAGACCCCCUACAGACUCUCUACAGAGGCACCCCUGUGCCCUACAGGUGCUUGGAGUCUCCGCACAGUCCCGGGCACUGGCGAAGUGGAGGAAACAGGCUCCAGCAGCUCACUCCCGUCUCCAGCACCUGCAGCAUCUUCACGUUUGGGUACCAAGGCCGAGGGGUUCAUUCCGUCAUGAACCACCUCCAUAUGCUUCCUUGAAAGCUCAUCUGGUGCCACAACUGGACACCCGUCUCAAGGCUAUAGCCAAAGACUUUGGAAGAAGUGGAUAAAGGAGAAAGUUGAGGUCUGUGGUUUCAGCUAUCCCAAGGAUCUGAUUCCACUGCCAUUUAAAGUCCCUCUGGCUUCUGCCAACAGCAGCUCCCUCUAGAUGUGAAUUCAACCUCUCAGCUUCCUUGUGAUGCGAGCAUCACAGCAAAGCCUCCAAUGCUUAUGCUAAGCCCUGCGCAGACCUUCCUGGAUCUCCUGCGAAUGAACCACCAACUUGCAUUUGCUAUGCAGAUAUGCUUCCUAAGUCAGGGGCUUCCUAAAUCAGAGCAGGUUUCAUGAGCCACGUUCCAGGGCUCCUCCCUCACAUCCUCCAUGGCUCAUUUUUCUAGAUCAAAAUCUACAACUCAUGAGUAGGAAGAAAGUCACUUAAGGCUGACUGCCCUGACUUAUCAUUUAAUCUACACAGAGCUAUUUAUUUACUAAUUACAUUCUGGGCCUGACAGCACUGGCCAGAAAAGAUUUGUUUAUUCAUUACCAAAACCAAUUAAUGUAAACAGAAAAUAAAAUCUUAAAGGUUACUCUUGGGAAGGACUUUACUAAUGGUGUCGGAUGAGCCCCUAAUUAAAUGAGGCAAAUGAAGCCCGAAGAAGCAAAGGGAUUUAGGGCACAUGGGUAGCUUCCUUGCCACUGUUCAAUGGCACCCCAAAAUUCCAGUCCUGUGGUGUGAAUGGGACUGACCCCGUGGGUCGGCUUCUAUAGCGAAGGAUGAGCAUUAAAGAAAGAGCGGGCAGGUCCAGCUAGGACCCACUGCACAGGCUACUACAUGUCCUCUGUCAUGUAGAUGCGUGAAAUGGCUCUUCUGUCAUUUGCAACCAAAAGCUUCCCAACAGAUAACCGUGCAGAGUCAGUAGCAAUGCCAAUUUCUUGACUCCCCGUACACAGAUAUUUCUGCCACAGGAGAGUCUUUAACAUAGCAGAAUAGAAAGCCAUAUUUUGACAAAUUCAGGGGCUGAACUUGGUAAGAAUCAAAAGAUUUGGAGGAAAUACAGGAAACUAAAGACCGUCAUGGUGCUCUUUAAACAUAUGGCUUCACGUGUAACUGUGGCUACAUUAAUAGAGUAUUACUGAUGACUGAAGAAUCCAUGAAUGGAGAUUAACUGUAGAGAAUUCAUGGUUAAUGAGAGAGGACCACUCUAUUUUUUAAAUAUAGUAUGUAUGUAUGUAUGUAUGUAUGUAUGUAUUUUUGAGCGAGAGCAAGCCCAAGAAGGUAGGAGGGCAAAGAUGGAGAGAGAAAGAAUCUCAAUCAGGCUCCAUGUCCAGUGCAGAGCCUGACAUGGGGCUUGAUCCCAGGACCCCAAGAUCAUGACCUGAGCUGAAAUUACGAGUCAAUUAACCAACUGAGUGACACAGGCACCCUGAGGACUAUUCUAUUUAUAACUUGAGAACAAAACCUAACUCCCACUUCAGUCUCAGAGUUGGUCCUAAAGCUGGGCUCAUCCCUACCUCCUGGAGGGACAAUGUCCCAGUUUUGUAUUUCCAAGCGCCCAGCUCCAAAUCAGGUGCCAAUGGAGGGAUGAUGCAGGUCUCGACAGCUAAGUCUAUUGAGUAGUUACUAGAUGAAGACACCGUACUGUGUCUUAUCUGCUUUAUGUCACUGAAUGCUCCCCGGCGAUCAACGUGAGGUAGACUGAUCAGAGUAGACAAUUAACAUGUGUUAAUGACACGGAAGAAGUGACCAUCAGGCACACGGAACUCUUGUAAGAUUAAAUUUAUUGUCAAUGAGAACACAUUCUUUAGUAAUCCUAAAACUAUAAAAUUUAAAAAGAUGAGUAUCAAUAGACGUAAUAAUCAGACAGGAUCCAGUUAACAUUUAUAAAGAAGGAUAAUUUGCCAGCAGAUCCUGGGGCUUAAAGCAUCCGCACCCCUCGCUCACGUGGCCCCUUCCGUGGGCCUGGGAAGGACCCCAGCCACGUGUGGAAUGAGCACCUUCGGUAUUUAAGCUUAGUCAUCACACAAAAACACUUAAAUGUCCUGAAGCCCUAUGGCUUAUAUAUGAAAAAAACCUGAGAAAGGUUCCCCGACAUCUGACAAUAAUCCGAAAGAUUUACAUGACAUUACCAAUAACUGCUUGUAGAGCAAACAAACUUUUUCUCCUAAGCCAUCAAGAAUGGAAAACAAGCUCCAACCAACCAUGCUAGAGGAAUGAAUGAAUUAUCUUGCUGUUCUCUUGAGGGAAAAUGGCAUUCUAAAAUCGCUGUCAUAGGAAGAAGUGGUCAAAGAGCACACAGCCCAAAAAAAUGUAGGAAAAGAAAGUAAUGCAGACAUAUGUGAAAUAGCUAAUUGGUAAUAAUAUUUGUGUUAUUUUCUGGAUUUUGUGAUUCGGAUGUCUACUUUGAAAUACAUAUAUAUUAUUUUCUUUCAUCAUGUGAAAUAAAUGCUCAUUCGUAAACCUGGUU